UUUUUAUGGACUGUACUCCGUCUUAGCACAAUUCCCAAGUUUUACCCGAGAGGCCACGCUUCAGUUGGACCGUCUUCCAUAUAUCUACUGACUUCAUAUAAACGAAAGUGUACUAAAGGCUCACUGAUCUACACUACCAGCUCAUGCUCAACGUUACUGAACAACAAAGUAAUCCGACAAUCAGACUGGACCCGGUCAUGUUAGGUA